CAGAGGAGAUCGCGAGACAAGUUGGAAUAGCAACUUCCAAAGGGACAGGCGGGGAACCAAACCUUCGUCAUCAGGUUUCUGGCAGAUAGUUUCUCACCGAAUAGUUUCUGAUUAAACUGCUUAUGGAGACUAUGGAGGACCAUGUUCACGGUUCAAAGCAGGAGGAGAAGGAAGGAAGUGCCAGGAGGCGUAGGCUAAAUACACCAUUAACGUCUGGGAACCUUUCUAACACAAUGCCGCCCCCUGUCGGAAGAUCCCCGCUUACGCUACUUAAAGGAAGUAAUUUCUCAAAUAAUACUCA